AGUCAGUGUACGUAGACCCGAAACCGGGUGAUCUACCCAUGUCCAGGCUGAAGUUGCCGUAAAAGGCAAUGGAGGGCCGAACGCACAUCCGUUGAAAAGGGUGGCGAUGAGGUGUGGGUAGGGGAGAAAUUCCAAUCGAACCCGGAGAUAGCUGGUUCUCCUCGAAAUAGCUUUAGGGCUAGCCUCGUGUUAACCUUGUGGAGGUAGAGCACUGAAUAUCCUAGGGGGCGUCAAAGUCUACCGAAGAUUAUCAAACUCCGAAUGCCAUAGAGGUGAUGCACGGGAGUCAGACUGCACGAGAUAAGUUGGGUGGUCAAAAGGGAAAGAGCCCAGACCUACAGCUAAGGUCCCAAAGUGCGUGUUAAGUGGAAAAGGAUGUGGGAUUUCGAAGACAACUAGGAUGUUGGCUCAGAAGCAGCCAUACAUUCAAAGAGUGCGUAAUAGCUCACUAGUCGAGAGGUCCUGCGCCGAAAAUGUCCGGGGCUGAAACACGACACCGAAGCUUAGGACUCCUUUUAGGAGUGGUAGAGGAGCAUUGUUAGCGCAGCGAAGCUGUACCGAUAAGGAGCAGUGGAGUGCUAAGAAGAGAGAAUGCCGGAAUGAGUAGCGAGAGGAAGGUGAGAAUCCUUCCGGCCGAAUAUCCAAGGUUUCCAGAGUAAAGCUGAUCUGCUCUGGGUAAGUCGGGGCCUAAGGCGAGGUCGAAAGACGUAGUCGAUGGAUAACAGGUGGAGAUUCCUGUACUAUGUGUACCCAGAACUGUGGGGACGCAUGUGGAGAGCAUGAGCCGGGAAAGAGAAGACCGGUACAAGCGGGGUAGGAGUAAGGACAGCAAAUCUUCCUUACAAUCCGAAGACGUGAUGUGGACCGAACCAAAGUAGGGAAGCAUGUGAGCCAUGUGCCAAGAAAAGCCGCUAUUGUGAUACACAUACCCGUACCGUAAACCGACACAGGUGGAUGAGGAGAGAAUCCUAAGGCCGACGGAAGAAGCAUUGUUAAGGAACUCGGCAAAAUGACCCCGUAACUUCGGGAGAAGGGGUGCCCUGUGAAAGCAGGGCCGCAGAGAAUAGGCUCAAGCAACUGUUUAGCAAAAACACAGGUCUAUGCGAAACCGAAAGGUGAGGUAUAUGGGCUGACGCCUGCCCGGUGCUGGAAGGUUAAGAGGAGAAGUCAGGCAACGAAGCUUCGAAUUUAAGCCCCAGUAAACGGCGGCCGUAACUAUAACGGUCCUAAGGUAGCGAAAUUCCUUGUCGGGUAAGUUCCGACCCGCACGAAAGGCGUAAUGAUUUGAGCACUGUCUCGACAAUGCAUCCGGUGAAAUUGAAGUACCAGUGAAGAUGCUGGUUACCUGCGCCAGGACGGAAAGACCCCAUGGAGCUUUACUCCAGCUUGAUACUGGGAUUCGAUACUGUAUGUACAGGAUAGGUGGGAGACGUUGAGCAUAGAACGCCAGUUUUAUGUGAGUCGCUGUUGGGAUACCACCCUUGCAGUAUUGGAUUUCUAACCUGCACCCAUGACCUGGGUGGGGGACAAUGUCUGGCGGGGAGUUUGACUGGGGCGGUCGCCUCCGAAAGGGUAUCGGAGGCGCUCAAAGGUUCCCUCAGAAUGGUUGGAAACCAUUCGAAGAGUGCAAAGGCAGAAGGGAGCUUGACUGUGACACCGACGGGUGGAACAGGUACGAAAGUAGGACUUAGUGAUCCGGUGGUAUAAAGUGGGAUUGCCAUCGCUCAACGGAUAAAAGCUACCCUGGGGAUAACAGGCUUAUCACUCCCAAGAGUUCACAUCGACGGAGUGGUUUGGCACCUCGAUGUCGGCUCAUCGCAUCCUGGGGCUGUAGCAGGUCCCAAGGGUUGGGCUGUUCGCCCAUUAAAGCGGUACGCGAGCUGGGUUCAGAACGUCGUGAGACAGUUCGGUCCCUAUCCGGCGCAGGCGGAGGAUAUUUGAGAGGAGCUGUCCUUAGUACGAGAGGACCGGGAUGGACGGACCACUGGUGUAUCUGUUGGCUAUCAGAGCCAUGGCAGAGUAGCCAAGUCCGGCAGGGAUAAACGCUGAAGGCAUCUAAGCGUGAAGCCCCCCUCAAGAUGAGAUAUCCCUCAGAAAUGAGUAAGACCCCUUGA
rnacentral:rRNA from 1 species